UUGUUUGGGCAAGGAAAUGGCAUUAGUGGAGAUGAAAAGUGUUGCUCUUGCAGUACUUGGGUCCUUUACAGUUCGGGUUGUGGAUCCGGAUCAAGCACCAAGAUUUUCCCCGGGUCUUACUGCUACUGUGAGAGGUGGCUUACCAGUUGUGGUCAAAGAAAGAGAGUUUCUUCCACAACCCACCACCAUUGUUAGGCCAUGCAUGUAGCUAAAUGAUCUUUAUAAAUAUGCAUGUUUGUAAUGAUCUAAUGGGUCAAAAAAAUGGCAGCUUUCUGUACAUAUAACUAAGAAGAAGAGCUUCUUUUCUUU
rnacentral:misc_RNA from 1 species